GUGGGUAGUUUGACUGGGGCGGUCUCCUCCUAAAGAGUAACGGAGGAGCACGAAGGUUGGCUAAUCCUGGUCGGACAUCAGGAGGUUAGUGCAAUGGCAUAAGCCAGCUUGACUGCGAGCGUGACGGCGCGAGCAGGUGCGAAAGCAGGUCAUAGUGAUCCGGUGGUUCUGAAUGGAAGGGCCAUCGCUCAACGGAUAAAAGGUACUCCGGGGAUAACAGGCUGAUACCGCCCAAGAGUUCAUAUCGACGGCGGUGUUUGGCACCUCGAUGUCGGCUCAUCACAUCCUGGGGCUGAAGUAGGUCCCAAGGGUAUGGCUGUUCGCCAUUUAAAGUGGUACGCGAGCUGGGUUUAGAACGUCGUGAGACAGUUCGGUCCCUAUCUGCCGUGGGCGCUGGAGAACUGAGGGGGGCUGCUCCUAGUACGAGAGGACCGGAGUGGACGCAUCACUGGUGUUCGGGUUGUCAUGCCAAUGGCACUGCCCGGUAGCUAAAUGCGGAAGAG
rnacentral:rRNA from 1 species